rnacentral:lncRNA from 1 species
CAUGGAAGGGUAAACGCUACCUAGUCUGACUACCAGGAGUGUAGAGUUCUCAACACCAAGGAAACAAACCCAUGUUGACGUCACCACAUACCCCAUAAAUAAUCUUUUAAUAUGUUGUCAUUUGCCUGUCACCUCGGUUUUUAACCCAAGGGUUUUUAAUCUACUUAGCUUAUAUCUUUUCUCUCUCUUAAAAGUCAAGAUUUUAAAUGUCCUUAAAAUUAAUAUGUCAUAAAAUUUUAUAUUUGCCUUGCUUCCAUCAGCAACAAAUAACUUUCUUUAAAAGGCAUUUUUUAGGUUUAGGUCACUACAGAGAAUUCUCUCAUAAUAUUGACAAGGUGCAAGUAUUAUAAAUAAAGCCCAUUCAUCGAACAUUAAAAGACAAUUUUCAAAAUUUUUAAAACUUUGAAAACAAUCUGAAAAAUUAUAAUUCUUACUGCACUAAUAUACAAGUGAUAAUUGUGGUUAAUUACAUUUUGGGUUUCACUUUGACCCUUAAUAAUUCUUAUUAUUCACAUUUUCUUACUGUUUCAAGUAAAGUGAAGCAAGACAAAACAAAAGAGAUAUACAUCAGUCCUAUAAAUAGUGAGGUUCUAAUAUUUUGUUUAUUUCACAUGCAUGGAAAGCAACUUAAAAGAGAGUGAGUCUAAUUUAAUCUAUUUCUAGGCUGCAUGUAUUGUCAGAAAGGCCAAUGGGACUAUUUAGGCCCGAGUCUUGGGCUUACCUGCACAGUGCCUCUGCAUCCAGCUGUCGAGGAUUUCUGUGGUCUAUGAUGAUAAUGUCAUGAUGUUUGUCCAGGAAACAGGCAAGGACAGCCUGAGCCUCCUUGGUAACUGUACACUUAAACCCUGCUUUUUCACAUGCCCUGCAGAAUCCAUUACAUUGGUUAUCUUCUUUGGUAAACACUAAAAGUACCUGAAUCAAAAGAGCACAAACACUUUUUUAAAAAAAAGAUGUUAGAAUUGUCAUUUCUUACACUUUUUUUUUCUUGAGACAGAGUCUUGCUCUGUUGCUCAGGCUGGAGUGUAAUGGCACGAUCUUGGCUCACUGCAACCUCUGCCUCCCAGGUUCAAGUGAUUCUCCCACCUCAGCCCUGCCGAGUAGUUAGGCCACAGGCACGUGCCACCAUGCCCAGCUAAUUUUUGUAUUNNNNNNNNNNCAUGCCCAGCUAAUUUUUGUAUUUUUAGUAGAGACGGGGUUUUGCCAUGUUGGCCAGGCUGAUUUCAAACUCCUGGCUUCAAGUAAUCCUCCCACCUCGGCCUCCCAAAGUGUUGGGAUUACAGGCGUGAGCCACCGCGCCUGGUCAGAAUUGUCAUUUGUGUGUGUGUGUGUGUGUGUGUGUGUGUGUGUGUGUGUUUUGGGGGGAUGGUGGGUGGGCAACAGGGUCUUCCUCUGUUGCAUGGGCUGGAGUACAGUGGUGUGAUGUCAGCUCACUGCAACCUCCACCUCCAGGGUUCCAGUGUUAUUAUACCUCAGAGCCCCCAGUGGCUGGGAGAUUACAGGUGUGCGCCACCACAAUACUUAAUCCUAUAAAUAAUGUAUUGAAAUGUUUGACUCAAGAUUUUAUGUAAUUCCUCCAAGUCAAAAAAAAAUUGCUUUGAUUAAAAGAAAGAAGAUUUAAAGUAGACCAAAAUGUGACACUUCAAAGCCUAUCAGUUUUGUUGUUGCUGUUGUUGCAGAAACUGGGUCUCCCUAUGUUGCCCAGGCUGGUUUCAAACUCCUCAAGGACUCCUCAAGCUCAAGAG